AGUGAACGCUGGCGGUAGGCCUAACACAUGCAAGUCGAACGGCAGCACAGUAAGAGCUUGCUCUUACGGGUGGCGAGUGGCGGACGAGUGAGGAAUACAUCGGAAUCUACUUUUUCGUGGGGGAUAACGUAGGGACACUUACGCUAAUACCGCAUACGACCUACGGGUGAAAGCAGUGGAUCUUCGGACCUUGCGCGUUUGAAUGAGCCGAUGUCGGAUUAGCUAGUUGGCGGGGUAAAGGCCCACCAAGGCGACGAUCCGUAGCUGGUCUGAGAGGAUGAUCAGCCACACUGGAACUGAGACACGGUCCAGACUCCUACGGGAGGCAGCAGUGGGGAAUAUUGGACAAUGGGCGCAAGCCUGAUCCAGCCAUACCGCGUGGGUGAAGAAGGCCUUCGGGUUGUAAAGCCCUUUUGUUGGGAAAGAAAAGCAGCAGGUUAAUACCCCGCUGUUCUGACGGUACCCAAAGAAUAAGCACCGGCUAACUUCGUG
rnacentral:rRNA from 1 species